GGAAAGGCUUACGGUGGAUACCUAGGCACCCAGAGACAAGGAAGGGCAUAGUAAGCGACGAAAUGCUUCGGGGAGUUGAAAAUAAGCGUAGAUCUAGAGAUUCCCGAAUAGGUCAACCUUUCAAACUACUGCUGAAUCCAUGGGCAAACAAGAGACAACCUGGCGAACUAAAACAUCUUGUAGCCGAAGGAAAAGAAAGAAAAAGUGAUUCCCGUAGUGCAACGAGCGAAAUGGGAGUAGCCUAAACUGUGAAAACGAGGUUGUGAGAGAGCAAUAAAAGCGUCGUGCUGCUAGGCGAAGAGUGAAGUGCCGAACCCUAGAUGGCGAUAGUCUAGUAGCCGAAAGCAUCACUAGCUUACGCACUGACCCGAGUAGCAUGGGCCACGUGAAAUCUCGUGUGAAUUAGCAAGGACCACCUUGCAAGGCUAAAUACUCUUGGGUGACCGAUAGCGAAGUAGUACCGUAAGGGAAGGGUAAAAGAACCCCUGUCGGGGAGUGAAAUAGAACAUGAAACCGUAAGCUCCCAAGCAGUGAGAGGAGCAUAAGGCUCUGACCGCGUGCCUAUUGAAGAAUAAGGUGGAGACUCAUUGGAAGUGGCUUGGUUAAGGGAACCCAUCAGAGCUGUAGCGAAAGUGAGUCUUCAUAGGGUAAUUGUCGCUGCUUAUGGACCCGAACCUGGGUGAUUUAUCCAUGAUCAGGAUGAAGCUUGGGUGAAACUAAGUGGAGGUCCGAACGACUAAUGUUGAAGAAUCAGCUAAUAAGUUGUGGUUAGGGGUAAAUGCCACUCGAACUCAGAGCUAGUUGGUUCUCCCUAAAAUGUAUUGAGGCGUAGCAAUUAACUGAAGAUCUAGGGGUAAAGCACUGUUUUGGUGCGGGCCGUGAGAGCGAUACCAAAUCGAGGCAAACUUUGAAUACUAGAUAUGACCUUAAAAUAACAGGGGUCGAGGUCGACCAGUGAGACGAUGGGGGAUAAGCUUCAUCAUCUAGAGGGAAACAGCUCGGAUCACCAGCUAAGGCCUUUAAAUGACCGCUCAGUGAUAAAGGAGGCAGAGUGCAGAGACAGCUAAGAGGUUUGCCUAGAAGCAGCCACCCUUGAAAGAGUGCGUAAUAGCUCACUGAUCGAACGCUCUUGUGCCAAAGAUGAACGAGGCUAAACGAUCUACCGAAGCUGUGGGAUGUAAAAAUAUAUCGGUAGGGGAACGUUUCACCUUAAGGUGAAGCACCCGCGUGAGCAGGAGUAGACGAAGCGAAAGCGAGAAUGUCGACUUGAGUAACGUAAACAUUGGUAAGAAUCCAAUGCCCCGAAAACCCAAGGGUUCCUCCACAAGGUUUGUCUACGGAGGGUGAGUCAAGGCCUAAGAUCAGGCCGAAAGGCAUAGUCGAUGGACAACAGGUGAAUAUUCCUGUACUACCUCUUGUUGGUCCCGAGGGACGGAAGAGGCUAGGUUAGUCGAAAGAUGGUUAUCGGUUCAAGGACACAAGGUGUCCCUACUUUUUUAGGGUAAAAAGGGGUAGAGAAAAUGCCUUGAGCCAAUGUUCGAGUACCAAGCAUUACGACACUGAAGUAACCCCUGCUAUACUUCCAGGAAAAGCUUGAACGACCUUUAACAAAAGGGUACCUGUACCCAAAACCGACACAGGUGGGUAGGUAAAGAAUACCUAGAGGCACGAGACAACUCUUUCUAAGGUACUCAGUAAAAUAGCCCCGUAACUUCAAGAGAAAGGGUGCUUCCUCACAAAGGGGGUCGUAGUGACUAGGCCCGAGCGAUUGUUUACUAAAAACACAGGUCUCUACAAAGUCGUAAGACCAUGUAUGUGGACUGACGCUUGCCCAAUGCCAGAAGGUUAAGGAAGUUGGUAACCAGAUGAUAGGGGAGUCGAUGAUCGAAGCCUCGGUGAACGGCGGCUGUAACUAUAACAGUCCUAAGGUAGUGAAAUUCCUUAUCGGGUAAGUUUUAACCCGCACGAAAGGCAUAACGAUCUCGACACUGUCUCGGAGAGAGGCUCAGUGAAAUAGACAUGUCUGUGAAGAUACGGACUACCCGCACCUGGACAAAAAAGACCCUAUGAAGCUUCACUGUUCUCUGGGAUUAGCUUUGGGCUUUCCUGCACAGCUUAGGUGAAAGGCGAAGAAGGCCUCCUUUUGGGGGGCCUGAGCCAUCAAUGAGAUACCACUCUGGAAGAGCUAGAAUUCUAACCUUGUGUCGGGACCUACGGGCCAAGGGACAGUCUCAAGUAGACAGUUUCUAUGAGGCGUAGGCCUCCCAAAAGGUAACGGAGGCUUGCAAAGGUUUCCUCGAGCCGGAUGGAGAUUGGCCCUCAAGUGCAAAGGCAGAAGGGAGCUUGACUACAAGACUCACCCGUCGAGCAGGGACAAAAGUCGACCUUAGUGAUCCGACGAUACCGAGUGGAAGGGUUGUCGCUCAACGGAUAAAAGUUACUUUAGGGAUAACAGGCUGAUCUUCCCCAAGAGCUUACAUCGACGAGAAGGUUUGGCACCUCGAUGUUGGCUCUUCACCACCUGGGGAUGUAGUAUACUCCAAGGGUUAGGUUGUUCGCCCAUUAAAGCGGUACGUGAGCUGGGUUCAGAACAUCGUGAGACAGUUCGGUCCAUAUCCGGUGUGGGCGUUAGAGCAUUAAGAGGACCUUUCCUUAGUACGAGAGGACUGGGAAGGAUGUACCUCUGGUGUACCAGUUAUCGUGCCCACAGUAAACACUAGGUAGCAAAGUGCGGAGCAGAUAACUGCUGAAAGCAUCUAAGUAGUAAGCUCACCCCAAGAUGAGUACUCUCCUAGUCCGACUUUCCUAGAGCCUUCGGUAGCACAGCCGAGAUGGCAAGGGGUUCUCUGUCUCUGCGAGGAUUGAGUGACAAAAGUUUUGAGAAUUCAAGAGAAGGUCAUGGCAAGAUGAGCCAUUUAUCAUUACGAUAGGUGUCAAGUGGAAGUGUAGUGAUGUAUGCAGUUGAGGCAUCCUAACAGACCGGUAGACUUGAAC
rnacentral:rRNA from 1 species